AUACUGGAAGAAACCGUGAAGAAAAGUAAAGCCAUAACCAGUUUGCAGGAUGAAGUUAAUGAGAACUCCCAAGGUAAAAUGUCUCAAGAAUUGCAUAUUUUUAUAUAUUUUGAAGAAUAUCUUCUUAUAUUGAAGCAAUUAAUUUUAUUCAUACUGUGUGACUGAAUAACUGAUAUUAAGUACUUUUUCGUUUUAAUUUUGAACCUUCAGUUUGUGCAGUUUAUAAUAUUUUAAUCUUGUGGUUUAAAUUUCUUUUAAUCUUGUGGUCUAAUUCCGAAGCGAGUUCAAAUUUGCCUCCCUCGAAAAAACAAUAUUUUUGUUUUUUUCUGCAGCAUUGGGAUUGGAAUGAAAAGAUUUCAUAAAACUUCAUGUACCAACUUAUCGCGGACGUUCCUGUCAUUAUUUAUCAUGUUUAAUAUUAUUUUGUUAUCUUGUACUUGUAUACAAAAUCCAUUUAGACAAGUGCAGCAAGAUUAAGAAAGUGGGUGAACCAAUCGUACAUCAUCAUUCUGGAUAUUAUUGCGGAACAUGGAUGAGAGAUCCUCUUGGAUUGCUUGGUCCAGAGAAGAUUUGGUACAUGAAUAACUUUUAUGGGAAUAAAGUGUUGGAAUUUGAAGACAUGGAUCACUUCAAAGCUGGAGAGGUUGCCAAAACUUACACCCUACCAUAUGGUUUUGAUGGUUCAGGAUCUGUUGUCUAUGGACGGUAUCUUUACUUUAACAGGUCUGUUCCAAUCAGUUUGGCCUUAUACAGGGUGUAUAACAGAUUUGAAAUUGCUCUCAAUUUCGCAAAACACCU
rnacentral:lncRNA from 1 species